UACAGGGGGGGCAAGCGUUGUUCGGAAUUACUGGGCGUAAAGGGCUCGUAGGUGGCCAACUAAGUCAGACGUGAAAUCCCUCAGCUUAACUGGGGAACUGCGUCUGAUACUGGAUGGCUUGAGUUUGGGAGAGGGAUGCGGAAUUCCAGGUGUAGCGGUGAAAUGCGUAGAUAUCUGGAGGAACACCGGUGGCGAAGGCUGCAUCCUGGACCAACACUGACACUGAGGAGCGAAAGCCAGGGGAGCAAACGGG
rnacentral:rRNA from 1 species